rnacentral:rRNA from 1 species
UACGUAGGGUGCAAGCGUUGUCCGGAAUUAUUGGGCGUAAAGAGCUCGUAGGCGGCUUGUCACGUCGGGUGUGAAAAGCCCGGGGCUUACCCCGGGUCUGCAUUCGAUACGGGCAGGCUAGAGUGUGGUAGGGGAGAUCGGAAUUCCUGGUGUAGCGGUGAAAUGCGCAGAUAUCAGGAGGAACACCGGUGGCGAAGGCGGAUCUCUGGGCCAUUACUGACGCUGAGGAGCGAAAGCGUGGGGGAGCGAACAGG